AUGAGCUGUUUGCGUUAGUUUAUCAAGCAAGCACAGCAGUGGACAUAGAUUAAUAGAUUGUGAUGCAGAAAAAAAAAGGAAAGUAGGUUAUUCUCUGUAGGGGAGUGGGUCUCUUCCCAGUGACCCCACCACUGCCUCUGGAAACAUUCUCUGCCAGAGCUGGAAAAGAUUCUCCUGCGUCCUUGCUUCGGAUUAGCCAAGCCUGAAGUUUGGAUCCUUCCCCUGGCUACCAGCCUUGCCUGCAGCUAAAAUGACUGGCAUAAUUCACUUUCUGGCUGCAAGGAGCUGGGAAGUGGACUAUGAAGAAUCUCUCAUCUGCUGCUCGCUCAGCCUGUUUUCAGCAAUAUUAUCAGUCCUACACACCACAUCCAUUAUUUCAUGUGGCUUCUACCCUUUUACUCUGCUGCACAAAAAUAGGGAAAUCUCCUUUUUGUCCUUCAAACCUACCACAUGGUUUGGCUGCUUUUACCUGGUAUACAUUUGA
rnacentral:lncRNA from 1 species